UCUAAAAGAUACUAGAUAAGCAUUGGGAAAAUAUGCUGGGAAUUAUAUCACCACAGCUGGGUCCAGAGCAAUGUCUAGCUGGACCUUCUAAAGAGAGUUUCUCAACAAACUGAAGGUAGACAUCCUGGCCAAUUCUCACAUAUUCUCAGAAUAAAAAAAGAAUCUUUGAUGAAUGCUCCCUGAAAUAUGAAUUCCAAAAUCACAUAUCUGCCUGGAAAGAUCCCGUGAUGGGGAUAGCAUUAUCUCAUUUCAUUUUUGGACAGUACUUAUUGUUUGAAACGUAUCUUCCUCUAACUCCCAUUCACUGCUGCUUCUGGUCUUCCCUUUGGAGUCAUCUCUCAUUAGCUGCGUAUGUCUUGUUGAGUUGUGAGAUGUAAAUUCCAGGAAAUGGGCUGAAGAGUCAGGACAAGAAAAGUACAGUACAAAUAAGACAUAAAGAUUAGGGAAGCAACCACAGCAGAAAUCAGGACAACCAUCAGGUUAGAAACAAGGUAAACAAACAAAUCAGAGGGCAGAUACCCGAAGGUAGAGUAGGCGGGACAACCAAAGUCCAUUCAAACAGUCAGAAAACCAGGUCUAUAGGAGUUGAAGAAGCAUCACAAGAGACCUGGUCAAAGGGCCUAGCAAAUAACCAGCAAACAGGAAUCCUUAAGAACUGUCAGAUGAAAGGAGGUCCUAAUACAAAGGCUGCCAGCUGCCUCAGCCUCCCUGUCUUUAUUCUCCACUCAUGCUGGUCAAAACAAAUCUUUGCUGGGUCUACCCCUGAAAAAAGCCCUUACAGAAGACAACUAAAAAUUACUUCUCUGGAUAGUGAGAAUGCAAGUGAGACACAAACCAUUUUCUGACAUAGUUUCCUGACACCACAUUAGAUGGCCUCUGUCUAUAGUUCACAUAAGGAUAUGACAAAAUAUUUUCUCCCCUCAUACUAAAAAAAAAAAAAAAAAAAAAAUUCUGUGAGCAAUGCAAACCUAAGAAAGGUGGGGAAAUAACAUCCUACUAACUUUAUGUCUUAUCAUCAAGUGGCAUCUGUAAAAUUAUUCCCAUUUUAUACAUGAGAAAAUUAAAAACCUCAGAGAGGUUUUGUUUGACUUGACCAAAUCAAAGUAAGUAGCUGGGCAAAAAUUCUAAGGCAAGUCUGAAGCUAAGACCCAUAAUCCUAGCUGUGGCAGCCAAGAGAGAAUUUCUAAAGACUUUGUCAUAAUUUUAUCCAAUUUGCAAUCACUUAUUAAGGGGUUUUAGUCUUUAGAUCCAAAGGGCAUUUUUCCACUAAAAUUAUCUCUCCCUCCUCCAAAAAAAAAAAAAAAAAAAAAAAAAAAAAAAAAAAAAAAAAAAGUCAUACCAAGGACUCUGUGGCUAGUUUAGUGGGAGAUGAAGCUUCAGAGGCCAUAAUAUUUCAUUUUAUCAAGUAGCAGAGAUUAAAAGCUAUUAUUGUAUCAUAUUUUUGAGCAUAUGGGGGUGCUAUCACAUAAGAGACAAGCUCAUCUGCCAAACCAUUUUGCAUUUAAAAAAAAAAGAAAGAAAGAAAAGAGAAAGAUAACUGACCACAGAGAUAGGGAAAUGAUACUUUGAAAGUCAGUAACAAUGAGGUUUGAGAGAUGGAAUUGUGAGAACUUUUGCCUAAUCACAGGGAAAAGCAACAAGACAGAUUGGGAAAGACUUGGGAACCAAGUAAGUAAAGAGCCUAGCAAUAGUAAGUUAUCUGGGCCAAGUUUAAUGCAAACAGAAUGACUUUAUCAUCUAUAAACAACAGGAUUUUGCCAUAUCUGAAAAGCCGCAAACCCCUGGAGAUUUACCACUGUCUGAAAGGGUAUACAUUGGAAGGCACAUUUCCCCCCCAAAAAAGUUUUCAUAAUUUUUUUUAGGGCUAGAAGAAGAGAUCAUAUUGCCUCACCACUUUUAUUUCUACCACCAAGAAGACAGAAUUUGAAAUUAUUAGCAAAGGAUCACACAGAGUCAGUGGCAGUGCUGAAACUAAAACUCAAAUCUAUUAAGUUGCUUUGUUUUCUGCCUGACCCCAAUGUUUCCUUAUACCCAAAAAUGUAAAAGUUCUUAAACUUCUUUAUGCCUUGGACCUCAUAUGCAAUCCAAGGACACCUUCAGAGAACAAUGAUUUUUAAAUUCAUAAUAUAAAACACAUUACAAAGGAAAAGAAUUAUGUUGAAAUAAAGAUACAUAUUUUUCCCCAAGCAAGUUCAUAAACCCUCUCAAAUCUAUCCACGAACCCCCUGAAGAGUAAUUCUAGGUUAAGAAUCUCUGCCUUAAAGAAAUAAUGGCUUUCAUAAUCUCAAAAGACAUUGUUUUCUGACCAAGGUCUCAGUAGUCUCUAAGACAAACUUAUUGUUUACAAAUAAGUAUUUUGAACAACAUUCUGUUUAAAAAUAACAGGAACAGAUGAUGAAGAAGAGGAUGAAUGUAUGUUCUAGUCUUCAAGACUGGCUUUUAUUUCUUUUCUAGAAGUACUAACAGAUUCACAGGAUAGCUGGAAGCUAGAAAGAUACUUUAAAAGAUCAUUUAGUCUAAACAACCCCCUUGCUAAAGCCAUACAGCUAGUAAUAUUGAUGGGUUUAGAAUCCCUAUUUUCUGGUCCCGAUACCUUGUCUCUCCUACCACACCACACAGUGUCAAGAAUCUUUGAAACUUUAAUAUUUAAAGCUUUGUCUCAAGAAUAACUUUUUUAUGAAGUAAAAAGCAGAAGUUUCUAUACCUCUCAGAGCAAUACACACAUGAAAUUAAAUUCAUUUAGAGAGGGCUAAAUCAAUGUAUCAAUCAACAAGCAUUUAUUAAACACUUACAGGAAAGAAGGAAACAAGCACUUAUUAAAUGCCUACUAUGAUGUGCCAAGCACUUUGCAAAUAUUAUCUCAUUCAAUCCUCACAACAAUAGUAGGGAGAGUAGGUAUUAGUACAACACCCAUUUUAUAGAUAAGGAAACUGAAGUAAACAGAGAUUAAGUAACUCAAACAGGACCACCCAGCUAAUAUGUCUGACACUCGAUUUUAACUUAGGUUUUAUUGACUCCAGGUCCAGCACUAUAUGUAUCUACAUUAUCAUCUAAUCGCCUUAUUACCAGGAGCACUAAGAAUAUAUCAAAUAAUCAGAGUCCUCGAUUUCAAAGAGCUUGGAUAAGUAUUUUCAAAAUAUAUACAAAAUGUACACAAGGUAAUUUUCAUAGAGUAGGAACUGACAAUUGAGGGAAAGGAGAAAGCAGGUAAAUCCCUAUGUGUCCAGGCCACAAAGCACUAACUUCCACUUAGAAACCUAACUGCUGUUAGACAAACAACAAAGGGGAAGGAGGAUAGAAAUGUCUACUAGGUCUUUGAGGCAGCAUUCAUGGCUUCAUUCAAGGUACCAAACAAAUACAAAGCUUCAUUUCCUGUCAUCCAACACACAUUUCAAAUACUAUCCCAAUGCUAAAUUUCAGUACUAUGUAAGGAAGAUAGCCAAGUAAAAAUCUCCAGAUGUUAAAAAAAAAAAAAAAAAAAAAAAAAAAAGGGUUUACAUGAAGAGCAAGUCUUUUAACUAGUCAAAGAAAUAUGGGCCCCUGGUCUAUUUUUCCUAUGCUACCCAGACUGAAAUUUUGUAUACUUGAAAAUGGUUCCAAGCAGAUCCCAAGAUAAUCAAGAAAAAAAUAAAAAAGAGGAAAGCCUCCAAAAGCCCUUGCUUUCUUCUUAUGGGAUCACACAUGUUGGCCACAGACCUAAACCAAAAAGCUUCCUGGAAGCCCAUCAAAAACAUGUCAAUACAGGUCAGAAUGGACAAGAAGGCAAAAACUUAAAGGCAUCGAAGGAUUAAUCUUUUCAAGUCUUUAAAACAAACACUUGUUCACUGGUAGGUAUCUGAACUUGUUCUGAAAAGGACACCAAGGUAAAUAUGACUGAGAAAUUGAGGAGGGUGGGAGGAGAAGGGAGCCGAAUAUAGCUUCUCCCAGUGUGGGGUGUAUAUUGACACAACACCAACUAGCUGUUACCUUCAAUUCCCAAAACUAAUAAGUAAUCCUCCAAAACUUUCUCAUGCUUUGGAAUUAAUUUUGUUUUAAAUUUCAGAACAGGUUGCUUACUGAGUUACUUUUGUGCACAUGUAUAGAAUGUCAAACAUGAAGAUACAUACAUGUUGCAACCUGCAAAAACAUUUCCCAACAGGCUGAAAAUCUUGGUGAAAGUUGCUUAAUUAAUAAUAUGAUGCAUCUUUUUUGAAUGAGGUGGGAGAGAGGGGAGUUUCCUUUUAAGUGAUUCUGCUUUUAGAAGGGUAAUACAUGACUUUUUCUUUUUUCCAGGGAACCUGCCUUUAAACAAUCCUAGGACUGCUAGUAUUGAAGCUUAAAAUGGUAUAUUACAUACACUGGGAUUGGACUUUUGGCUUUGAUGGAAGGAAACUCCCUGGAUGAGGAAACUAACCAAAAUGAGUCCACACCUUUUUCUGCAAGUCUACUCUCAGAGCUAUUUAAAGCAAAUGAGCAUUUCAGUGACUUGACCAAGGUCACAUACAAAGUCUGUAUGUGACCACAGUAAAGCACAUGGUAAGUGAUUAACAGUUGGUUAGUUGGUUGUUGUCCUUUGUAUUUGAAGAGGACCAAAAUGAUAUCACUAUGUUAGAAUCAAGUUAGUGUAUCUUAACUUGUGGCUGAUCACACCAAUUUGAGCUAGGAAUGCUCUGCCACAGGUAGACACAAAUAGUCCCUAUGAACAUUUGAAGUAAAAAUGUUUACUGAAUGACAAACCUCUUCCUGGCUUCAAGUUCUGCUCUCAAAGUACUACAACAGACUGCCUACCCACCUGCUACCCUUACCACACAGAGACACACAUACAGGAAAAAGAAAGGAAUCAUAGUUUUAUAGAGCACCUACAAUGUGCCAGGCACUGUGCUCAGUGCUUUUCAAGUAUGUUUUGACUUGAUACUUAGAACAACCCUUUUACAGUUGAAAAAACUGCGGUUAAGUGACUUACCCACAAGGGUCACAUAACUAGCAAGUGUUUAAGGACAUUUAUAAACUAAGAUCUUCCUUACUCUAGGAUAGGUUAUCUAUCCACUGUACCACCUAGCUGCCUACACUCAAAGAAGAGGCUUAAUAACCAUUAUUUUGAAUGAAUGGGGGGCGGGGGGAAGGGGGGGAGGAGGAAGUAGUUAUGGAAAUACUUUUUUCUUCUUCAAAAAGUUUAACAUCAGUUAAAACCUCAACUCUCCCUGUGAUUUCAACAGUCUCUUCGCCCUCUUUGGAUCUCAGUUUUCUUAUCUGUAAAAUGGGAGGAGGGAUGGGAAGGGAACAUAGUACCUAAAACCUCUACUAUUCCUUCAAAAGGAUAAGAAAGCUAUGAGUUUCAUCUGCUAUUUUGAAAGGAAAAGGAUAACACUAAUGUGAAGUUCCCUAAAUCAGGAAACAAGAAUGAAAUUUUUGUCUACAAAAGAUACAUUUUAUUCCUGCUAAACAGAAACAACUAGAGUGGGCAAGGAAGGACUUCUACAAUAACCUGGAUUUUUUUUUCUUUAUAAUUAGAUCAAAUGUGGGUUUUCUCAGAGAUCCUAGAGUUCUCAACAAAUAUCUGAAUUUCUGAUGAACAAAUGUAACUUCCUAUUCAUCAAAGGGGAAAAAGCUAGAUCAACUAUUCUAGUUCAAGUCAACUUGAGUUCCAAAUGAAAGUUUUAUGUCUCAUGAGCUUCUAAACAGGAAAAUUAUAUCAUGGCUGACAGUAAAGUAAUUUAAUUGCACUGUUGCUAUGACAACAUGCUGCUCUCUUUCUGUUUAAUUUGCUUAUUUGUCAGUAGCUUCCCAAAGGAAUGAACAAGCUAUUCUCCAUGUUUUCUUUUGUUUUAAACAAACAUUUUCAGAGGCCAGCAAUAAUAGUUUCUUUCUUUAAAUGAUACUUCAAAAAUAAGUUUACAAAAAUAAAGAGCAAGGAAGCAGGGUCCAAUAACCUUGUAUUUCUUUGCUUUGUCUAUAUUUCCACAGCCUUCCUUUUAGCUCCCCCCCAACCAUUCAAUCCACUACAUAUCUACAAAUCAUGCAUUUUAUAGCAACUGUGUGCAAGGCCCUUGACCUCUAAGAUUGGUUUAAAACACAUUUUCCAGAAACCACAGCUGAGGAUUUUUCCAUUAUUCUAUUCUAACUACAGCAUUAACCAAAUCUUUUCCCCUCCCUAUUCUAGAGAAAUGGGGGGGGGGGGGGGGAGGAGACAGAAGAAAUAAGGAGUAUGCAGUUAAGCAAACAUUUUAAAAUCUGCUGCCAAUUAAGCUGUUCCACAAGAUAAGUCAAUAGUUAUUCAAUGGUGAUCCCUUUAAAACUUUUUUUUGAAUUAUCUGUGUUAUACCCUCCUUAUUUUUUUAUGCCUUGUUUAAAAAAAAAAAAGUAAACUGCUUUAGAAAAGCUUGUUUCUUGCCCACUUCUAAAAUUUUUUCACAAUAACUGACAGGCACAUUAAAAUGUUGAGCCCUCAACAGGUGUUCACUAUGGGAUUUAGAAAGGGGAGGUGGGAGGGAGGGAGAGGGGGACAGAUAUUUCAAUAGCAAAGCUAACGGAGUCAGAGAGUUUGUGGGGCCAGGGGCAACUUCAUUCCCACCCCUCCCUUCCUGCGCGCGCGCACACUCUGGAUUCCCUUCUACUGUACUUGUCAAAAACAUUUGAAGGGGAACAAUGAAGGCAGCGAUUGGCUGGGCUUAGAGUCAAUCAGUCGUGUUGCUAGGAAACGGGGAAACUGCUCUUAUUCCCCACACAUAGGGCAGUUGCGAGCUCACAUACCUUCACUGCUGGUCAGAUGUCAUAAACAUUUUAUUGGCCUUAAGGGUUGCAUGUCAUAAAAAUAAAUACAGCCCCCAACUUAACAUGCACCCAAGGAAAUCUGAUAGAAAAGGGGGUACUUGGGCCUGGGUAAGUGAGUAACGUUUCAGGAGACUUAUUCCCUUUUGCCUAUGCCAAGGCUGGACAGUUUUGGUUUUGUUUAUUUGUUUUUGUUUUUUUAAAGAGACAGAAAAAAAGCAAUAAUCUUUGUUAGGCGCAUUUCUUGCUAUCUUGAGGUCCGUUUUCUCCACCCCUAUGCACCCCAGACUCCAGUGUGAAUGACUGAGAUCCCAGUCCUCGUCACACAAUGCCAAUUCUUGUCUGUUUCUGAAGGGGACUCUUUCUUUUUCUUUUCUUUCUUUCUUUCUUUUUUUUUUUUUUUCGGAAAUCGAAGCAAUAGGAAAACAUCCUGUACGUCGGGUCAGGAAA